AUUGAACGCUGGCGGCAUGCUUUACACGUGCAAGUCGAACGGUAACAGGCCGCAAGGUGCUGACGAGUGGCGAACGGGUGAGUAAUGCAUCGGAACGUGCCCAGUCGUGGGGGAUAACGCAGCGAAAGCUGCGCUAAUACCGCAUACGAUCUAUGGAUGAAAGCGGGGGACCGUAAGGCCUCGCGCGACCGGAGCGGCCGAUGUCAGAUUAGGUAGUUGGUGGGGUAAAGGCUCACCAAGCCAACGAUCUGUAGCUGGUCUGAGAGGACGACCAGCCACACUGGGACUGAGACACGGCCCAGACUCCUACGGGAGGCAGCAGUGGGGAAUUUUGGACAAUGGGCGCAAGCCUGAUCCAGCAAUGCCGCGUGCAGGAAGAAGGCCUUCGGGUUGUAAACUGCUUUUGUACGGAACGAAACGGCUCUCUCUAAUACAGGGGGUUAAUGACGGUACCGUAAGAAUAAGCACCGGCUAACUACGUGCCAGCAGCCGCCGCCGUAA
rnacentral:rRNA from 1 species